GAAGGCCAUGAGUCAUAAAAGAGCCAAGAUUGCCUACCCCUGGUCUAGUGAUUAAGGCAUCAGGCUAAAAAGCAGAGACGGUGAGUUCUAGACCUCCCUUAACCAUUAAAGCCAGCUGGGUGCCUUAGGCGAGUCAUUCACUCACUCUCUCCUUAACCCAGCUCACCUCGCAGGGGUGUGAUUGUGAGAAAAUAGAAAGAGGAGGAUAUGUUGCACAUGUUCACCACCUUGAACUAUUUAUAAAAAUAACAAAGACAGGAUAUAAACAAACAAAUGUUACAAUGGAGAGCUGCACUUUUUUACUGCCAUGAUAAAGGUUUGAGUUUGAGCUCCCACCCAUAUACUCAGGUUGGGUCCUUGUUUUUCUCCGUCAACACUCCCAAAUGUCACAUUUUCUGCUUCAUCUCUCCCAGAGUUCCUCAAUAAUUUAAGAUAUACUCUAGGAGUAGUGAAUACAGUCUUGUCAAGAGUCUGAAUCACCUCUUGAUGCCUGGCAAUAAAUGAAACUGCCUAUCAGGUGCAGAGAAAUUUCUCAAGUACCUCCCAGAAGCCUGCCUUGGACAGACCAUUUUAAUAAGCUACAGCGUCCGCAGAAGUCCUCAAUAGCAGUACAUCUCAAAUGGACCAGGAAACGAUCUGAUCACAACAAAGAGAUAGAUACGCCCUCCACAUCUGGAUCACAGCCCAACCGUUUUGAGGAAAAUUAAUGUUCAACAUAGGCCAAUCUGCAUGCAUAGGAGCAGUGAUUAUUUGAGACAAGCCUAUGGUUGCCAGUUGCCACAGAGGCCAGCAAUUCUCUAGUUCUUCCAGACCUAACCCUUAGAGCAGGGACUGAUGUCAACCAGCACCAGAAAGUUAGAAAAUUCCAAGCUUACAAGUGAACAGAGACUGCUUUCCCAACUGCAUCCUAAGUGACCUUUCAGAUGACACAUAGGCUGAUACUCCAGUGAAGAACAAUUGCUCACCCACGGCUUGGCUUAGUUCACCAGUGACUCCGCAUCUCCAGUUUCAGUAGCCUAUACAGUAAUAAAUAGCCGGGAGCCAGAUAUGAGAAUAGAAGCAUUUAUUUUUUACUACAAAAUGGAAAGUAGUAAGCGAGUCUCCAUCUAGACUGCAAAGUCUUGACUACAUUUCAGGCACUCAACAGUAGGCGGCUAUAGCACUGUACAGAUAAUUCUGUAUCAUGCACAUAGGCCAAACAUAGACAAAACUCUUACAACAAGGAUUGUAGUCAACAGAGGAGCAUGUAACAUGCCCUCCAUUAGGGAAAAGGACAUUCUCGAUGCAGAAAGAGAGACAGAGCAAUUCACCCCUUUUCCUGAGUCUGCUCUGAUCCCAGCAAGAGCAUCUGUAUGGCACUUCUCAAACAGGGUUGGGUUUUUGUUUUUGUUUUUUUGCAAAUUAAGGUGCCUGGGUAUAGAUCAAGUGCAAAAUAGACAUCUCCAAUCAAAUUACGGGCAGCAAGAUAAUUUUGCAA